GAUGAAGAACGCAGCGAAAUGCGAUAAGUAGUGUGAAUUGCAGAAUUCAGUGAAUCAUCGAAUCUUUGAACGCACAUUGCGCCCCUUGGUAUCCCGAGGGGCAUGCCUGUUCGAGCGUCAUUUCAACCAUCAAGCCCCAGCGCUUGUGUUGGGGGCCUGCGGCUGCCGCAGCCCCCUAAAAGCAGUGGCGGGCUCGCUAUCACACCGAGUGCAGUAGUUCAUCUUCUCUCCGGUCUUGUGAGGCGGGUUCCGGCCGUGAAACACCCCACUACAUUCAAGGUUGACCUCGGAUCAGGUAGGAAUACCCGCUGAACUUAAGCAUAUCAAUAAGCGGAGGA
rnacentral:misc_RNA from 1 species